GCUGUGCAGUGGCAUGACCAUAGUUCACUGCAACCUCAAACUCCUGAGCUUCAGCGAUCCUCCCACCUCAGCCUCCCAAGUAGUCCCAUAGUCCCAGCCCCUGAGCUGGGACUACAGGCUGAUAUGAUCUGAAAAUGCUACGGAGAUUAUGAGAAAGAAAAUGGGGUUUUAUGGUGAAAUAAACUAGGGAAAUGAUGCUUUCCAUAAAUACAUAAUGCUUCUUUACCGUGAAUUCUCAGCCCUUUAAUACACUAAGGUGAACUGUGAAUCUUCUAGUGUGGGAGGUAUACGCAGCAUUUUCCAAAUUUAUGGGAGAAGUCUCGGCGGGAGAUUAAGUCUUGAGAUUCAUCAGACCAGAGAUGGUCUGUGAAGCCGCAGAUCAGGAUGACAGCCACUAUGGGAAUGAACAAAGAUGAAGACCGGAGACCCCAAGACAGACCUCCGGGGCAGCCAUCACUGAGAGAGGGCGGAGGAGGAGGGGGAAGUGAAGGCUCCUGAGGAGAAGGCCAUGUGGAGGAGGGAAACCAGGGGAAGGUGGAGUCGGAGACAUUGGAAGAACAGAUGGGCACACCAACGCCUGGAGAUGUUGGAUGCAGAAGGCGAAAUGUCAGAAGCUGGAGUCCUGCAUCUCAGCUGGAAGGUGAGGGCUGAUAAUUUAUCAGUUGCCAUUGAUCAAAGUUCACAAGGCAAAUCUUCAUAAACUUCUAAAGCUGCCUACAGUUUCCCGUAAACAAAUCUCUAAAUUUACAAAAGCAAUGCUUGCUGAUUGUAAAAAACACACAGUGCCAAAGCAUACAAAGGAAGAAGACCCGCUUGCAAUUUGCUACCUACAUCCCACUCUUGGGGCCAACAACUAUUGGAAGUGUGGUGAGUGAUUGACUUACAUCCUUCUAGAUCUUAUCUACAUAUUUGCAAAGAAAAAAUAUACAUAUAUAAAAUAAAAU
rnacentral:lncRNA from 1 species